GAGAAGCAUUGUUAAGGAACUCGGCAAAUUGACCCCGUAACUUAGGGAGAAGGGGUGCCAAGGUAGAACUUGGCCGCAGUGAAGAGGUUCAAGCAACUGUUUAACAAAAACACAGGUUUCUGCUAAAUCGAAAGAUGAAGUAUAGGAGCUGACGCCUGCCCAGUGCUGGAAGGUUAAGGGAAAGAGUUAGGGUUAAACCGAAGCUUAGAACUGAAGCCCCAGUGAACGGCGGCCGUAACUAUAACGGUCCUAAGGUAGCGAAAUUCCUUGUCAGGUAAGUUCUGACCCGCACGAAAGGCGUAAUGAUUUGGGCACUGUCUCGACAAUGUACCCGGCGAAAUUGUAGUACUAGUGAAGAUGCUAGUUACCUGCGACAAGACAGAAAGACCCCAUGGAGCUUUACUGCAGUUUGAUACUGGGUUUCGGCAAGUUAUGUACAGGAUAGGUGGGAGACUAAGAAAGAAAGGCGUCAGCUUUUCCGGAGUCACCCUUGGGAUACCACCCUUAAUUUGUUGGAAUUCUAACUAGUGGUCAUGAUCUGGCCAGAGGACAAUGUCAGACGGGCAGUUUGACUGGGGCGGUCGCCUCCAAAAGAGUAACGGAGGCGCCCAAAGGUUCCCUCAGUGCGGACAGAAAUCGCACGAAAGAGUGUAAAGGCAGAAGGGAGCUUAACUGGAAGAUAGACAUAUCGAGCAGAUACGAAAGUAGGGCUUAGUGAUCCGGUGGAAAUUGAAUGGAAAAGCCAUCGCUCAACGGACAAAAGUUACCCUGGGGAUAACAGGCUUAUCUCCCCCAAGAGUUCACAUCGACGGGGAGGUUUGGCACCUCGAUGUCGGCUCAUCGCAUCCUGGAGCUGAAGUCGGUUCCAAGGGUUGGGCUGUUCGCCCAUUAAAGCGGUACGCGAGCUGGGUUCAGAACGUCGUGAGACAGUUCGGUCCUUAUCUGUCGCAGGCGGAAGAUAUUUGAGAGGAGCUGUCCUUAGUACGAGAGGACCAGGAUGGACAUACCGAUGGUGUAUCAGUUGUCACACCAGUGGCACGGCUGAGUAGCCAAGUAUGGAAGGGAUAAACGCUGAAAGCAUCUAAGUGUGAAGCCCACCUCAAGAUAAGAUAUCUCAUAUCGUAAGAUAGUAAGAUUCCAUAAAGACUAUGUGGUUGAUAGGUUGGAGGUGUAAGUACAGCAAUGUAUUGAGCUGACCAAUACUAAUAAAUCGAGGGCUUAACCAC
rnacentral:rRNA from 1 species